AUGCAGUGAUGACCAGAAUUUCUUCACCUGAAACAUCUCAUGAUGCUUUUGAGCUUUUUAACCCUGAGUAUC